GGGAUUGUGGCUCAGUGGUAAAGCACUUGCCUAGCACACAUGAGGCACUAGGUUCAAUCCUUAGCACCA
rfam:Ictidomys tridecemlineatus contig064182, whole genome shotgun sequence.